GAGAAUUUAGUUAAAAUAACAUUAGAUUGUCAAACUAAAGUUAUCAUAUAUGUGAUAAUUCUCA
rnacentral:tRNA from 1 species